rnacentral:rRNA from 1 species
UACGGAGGAUCCAAGCGUUAUCCGGACUUAUUGGGUUUAAAGGGUGCGUAGGUGGCUUUUUUAAGUUCAGGGGUGAAAAGACGGUAGCUUAACUAUCGCAGUGCCUUUGAUACUGAAGAGCUUGAAUAAACUAGAGGUAGGCGGAAUGUGACAAGUAGCGGUGAAAUGCAUAGAUAUGUCACAGAACACCAAUUGCGAAGGCAGCUUACUAUGGUUUUAUUGACACUGAGGCACGAAAGCGUGGGGAUCAAACAGG